rnacentral:rRNA from 1 species
UACGGAGGGGGCUAGCGUUGUUCGGAAUUACUGGGCGUAAAGCGCGCGUAGGCGGACCUGCAAGUCGGGGGUGAAAGCCCGAGGCUCAACCUCGGAACUGCCUUCGAUACUGCGGGUCUCGGAGUCCGGGAGAGGUGAGUGGAAUUCCUAGUGUAGAGGUGAAAUUCGUAGAUAUUAGGAAGAACACCAAUGGCGAAGGCAGCU